AACGCACAUUGCGCCCGCCAGUAUUCUGGCGGGCAUGCCUGUUCGAGCGUCAUUUCAACCAUCAAGCCCCAGGCUUGUGUUGGGGGCCUGCGGCUGCCGCAGCCCCCUAAAAGCAGUGGCGGGCUCGCUGUCAUUCCGAGCGCAGUAGUUACAUCUCGCUCUGGUUGUGGCGGCGGGCACCUGCCGUAAAACACUCCUUCUAAGGUUGACCUCGGAUCAGGUAGGAAUACCCGCUGAACUUAA
rnacentral:misc_RNA from 1 species